rnacentral:lncRNA from 1 species
CCCCCUCCCCCCAAGUGUAUGUUUUGUACACUUUGGAAAAUGGUUGACAAUUAUGAAUGACCCCUUAAUUUUUAGUGCAUUUCAACCAUAAUAUAUCUUAAAUAAUCAGAGCUGGCAAGACCACAAGAGUUAUACAUGUCCACCAUUAUACAUUUUAAACAUAAAUUAAUGUCAGCUAAUGAGUGGGUUUUGUUUGUCAUGUUUCCAUCACUGACUGCUUCAAAGGCCGAUUGGCACUUAAUGCUAUAUGAGUAUAAACAGUCCUACUUGUACUAGACAAACAAUCUGAGCCUGGUUUUUUUGUAAAAGUGUGCAGGAAGACAUGUUGUUCUACACUGAUACAUAUUUAUGACUUUAGAUCACACAGUGCUUUCAUCUACUAUCAAAUGCCACAUGUUUAGCAGGGAAGUGGGAAUCUACUAUUAAAUGCCACAUGUUUAGCAGAGAAGUGGGAAUCAUCUAUUAAAAUUCCACAUGUUUAGCAGAGAAGUGGGAAUCCACUAUUAAAUGCCACAUGUUUAGCAGAGAAGUGGGAAUCUAAUCUGGGAAUCUAUCUGGGAAUUACAUUAAAUGCCACAUGUUUAGCAGAGAAGUGGGAAUCUACUAUCAAAUGCCACAUGUUUAGCAGGGAAGUGGGAAUCUACUAUUAAAUGCCACAUGUUUAGCAGAGAAGUGGGAAUCUACUAUUAAAUGCCACAUGUCUAGCAGAGAAGUGGGAAUCAACUAUUAAAUGCCACAUGUUUAGCAGAGAAGUGGGAAUCUACUAUUAAAUGCCACAUGUUUAGCAGAGAAGUUGGAGUUGACAAUGAAAAUUUUGAAGUCAACAAAUGGAAGUUUUUAAUGACCUUGACUUGCUUUACAGUCCUUGCACGGUCUCAGCUUCACGGCUUGGGAUCAACACAAAACCUCCUGCACUACAAUAGAGCAUGCUAACACAGGACAAAUAAAGCAUUUAAGUUAAUUGAAAUCAAGUUAAUGAAAAAACUGACACACAAGAAAUUGAAAAUAAAAAUAUAAAAUAUAAAAGUUGUAAAUAGAAUUGUUGUACAAAAUUUGUACCAUAUUUCAAUAUGAAUUAAUAUUUUAUUCAUGAGUCAAUCAAGAAACAAUAAUGUAGAUGAUGUAGAUGCACUCAACUUCUAAGUAAAUUUGAAAAAUCGAUUUCUAUAUAUACACCAGUAUAUCAAUAAUUCAUGGAGAGUAUCACUGGAACAAUUGACAACUUUAAGUUCAUUUGUUUGGUGUUGUACUGUAGUUCAAUUGCAUAAUAUAGUCACCAUUAAUUGCUUGCAUGUAAGUGUCAAAUUCUCAAGUCAUGUUAAACUUACAGAAGAGGUAUGUUAAAAAUACAAGACAAAAUUACUUUUAUCAUGUUUAUGCACCAUAAAUAUACUACUUCCAGGCAGGGAUCCAGGGGGGGAGGGGUCUGUGGGGUUGGAACCCCCUUUUUUUGGGCUGAUCAAUGCAUUUGAAUGGGGACAUGUAUUUGGAACCCCAACUUUGUCCUGGGUUAGGAACCCCCCCUUUUUAAAAUGGCUGGAUCUGCAACUGUACUUCACUAAUAUUCAAAUGAAUACUUAAAAGUAUUCUUUAAGCACUAGUACUCUUGCCCAAAUAAAAAAAAAAACAACAAUAAAUAAAACAGAUCAAAACAUUAUAUAAUCAAACAAAACAGAAAUUAACAAAACAUAAAACAAUACAAACAAAAACAGAACAACACAAAAUCAAAGCCCUAAAAUGUAAGUACAGUAA